GAGGCUACCGCUAUUGGAGUUCGAUUAAGCCAUGCGAGUCGCGAGAAAUUAGAUUCUCGGCGUACCGCUCAGUAACACGUGGGUAACCUGCCCUAUGCUGGAUAAUAACCUCGGGAAACUGAGAAUAAUGAUCCAUAGUUCACUACGCCUGGAACGGUGAGUGGAUGAAAGCUCCGGCGGCAUAGGAUGGGCCUGCGGCGUAUCAGGUUGUAGGGGGUGUAACGUACCCUCUAGCCAUCUACGCGUACGGGUGUUGGGAGACAUAGCCCGGAGAUGGAUUCUGAGACACGAAUCCAGACCCUACGGGGUGCAGCAGGCGCGAAAACUUGGCAAUGCGAGAAAUCGUGACCAGGGAACUCCAAGUGCAUCGGGUAAGACCGGUGCUUUUCUUGACUCUAAAUAGGUCUUGGAAUAAGGGGUGGGUAAGGACGGUGCCAGCCGCCGCGGUAAUACCGGCGCCUCAAGUGGUAGUCGCUUUUAUUGGGCCUAAAACGUCCGUAGCCGGUCUGAUACAUUCGUGGGUAAAUCAACCAGCUUAACUGGUUGAAUUCUGCGAGGACGGUCAGACUUGGGACCGGGAGAGGUGUGGGGUACGCUCAGGGUAGGGGUAAAAUCCUGUCAUCCUGAGCGGACCACCUGUUGCGAAGGCGCCACACUAGAACGGAUCCGACGGUCAGGGACGAAGCCUAGGGGCACGAACCGGAUUAGAUACCCGGGUAGUCCUAGGUGUAAACGCUGUGGACUUGAUGUUGGGGGUGCUCCGAGCACUCUCAGUGUCGAAGCGAAGGUGAUAAGUCCACUGCCUGGGAAGUACGGUCGCAAGGCUGAAACUUAAAGGAAUUGGCGGGGGAGCACCACAAGGGGUGAAGCCUGCGGUUCAAUUGGAGUCAACGCCAGAAAUCUUACCCGGAGAGACAGCAGAAUGAAGGUCAAGCUGAAGACUUUACCAGACAAGCUGAGAGGUGGUGCAUGGCCGUCGCCAGCUCGUGCCGUGAGAUGUCCUGUUAAGUCAGGUAACGAGCGAGAUCCCUGCCUCUAGUUGCCACCAUUACUCUCAGGAGUAGUGGGGCGAAUUAGCGGGACCGCCGCAGUUAAUGCGGAGGAAGGAAGGGGCCACGGCAGGUCAGUAUGCCCCGAAACUCUGGGGCCACACGCGGGCUGCAAUGGUAACGACAAUUGGUUUCGAAUCCGAAAGGAUGAGGUAAUCCUCAAACGUUACCACAGUUAUGACUGAGGGCUGCAACUCGCCCUCACGAAUAUGGAAUCCCUAGUAACUGCGUGUCAUUAUCGCGCGGUGAAUACGUCCCUGCUCC
rnacentral:rRNA from 1 species